UUGCAUGAAUUUUAUUUGAUAGAUCUUGGAAGCAGUCCAAUGCUUUCACUAGCAGAGAGAUGUGGACAAGGAACCUGAAGGCUGGUCAACCUUGAAGCUGUGAAAGGUCAGAGCCAACCACCCACUGUCUAGUUGAGACAAUGGUAGCUAAA